CCCUUAGAUGUUCUGGGCCGCACGCGUGCUACACUGAGUGGAUCAGCGGGUCAGGUUGCGCGAAAGUGUUUCCUAAUCUUGAAAUCCGCUCGUGAUGGGGAUUGACGGUUGCAAUUUUCCGUCAUGAACGAGGAAUACCUUGUAAGCGCGGGUCAUCAUCCCGCGCUGAAUACGUCCCUGCCAUUUGUACACACCGCCCGUCGCUCCUACCGAUUGAGUGGUCCGGUGAGGCUUUGGGAUCUGAGCGGAAAGAGCGUUUCGCUGUUUCUGCUCGGAAAACUCAGUCGAACCUUAUCAUUUAGAGGAAGGAGAAGUCGUAACA
rnacentral:rRNA from 1 species